GCAUGAUGUUGGAGGUGAGAAGGCUACUACUGAAGGCAUCCUUGGGGAUGAUCUUUUGUAUUCUCUGAGGAAAAGAAAGACUUCCAGUGAGAGGAAACAAAAGACCUGAACAGCAGGAAUAUUUUGGGAUUGGAGCCAAGGAAAAGACAGUUCUUACCAACUAUACCACAACAGAGGCACAAAAACAGCCAAACAGAUGGCCACUACAUCUACGUGGCACCAGAUAGAUGCUCCUCAGACCAAGCUUCAAACAACAGCUGAGAGACCACAUUUACAUAGACAACAGGAUAUGGGUGAAUUUGUCCUAUUUUUUUCAGCAGUUUCUGAAGGUUGAGUUUAUUCAGUUGACUGAGAAUGUUCAAAUGUUCCUGUCCUACAUUAGUAGAGGUACUAUGUUGUGCAGCUUUGUAGUAUUAAGUCUAAAUCCAUUUGUGUGAAGGAUAGAUAGAAGACAAAAUACAAUUUCAUUCUUUUAAUUCGGUGGAGAAAAAUUGUUACUGACAUGGAGAAAAACAUAAGAAAAAUGAAUUCAUGGGAAGCCAUUUUUACUUAAGCACCAUGUGGGCAAUUCUUUUUUCACUACUUCAGAGCCCUGUGAGGAAGUCAACAUGCACCAACAUUUAAUAUACAAUUUGUGAACUAUUAACAUUUAAUUUAAUAUUAUUCAGUAUAAAUUCAUUUCAUAUCAACAGUAAUGAGUGUUUUUUUUUCAGAUUCUGGCAGUAUUUGUUCUUCACUGUACACUCACUGUAGACUGAUUGACAGUUUCAAACUAAAUACCAGUAGCCCAAAAUAAUGUACUCCUACUCUCAGCUUGUGCUUGAAUAUUCAAAUCUGCAGAUGUAGGAGUGAAACAGAAGACAUAGAAGUGGGAAAAAAAAAAAGAAUAUGCACCGAGAUUCCAGGUGUUGAAUGUUUGACAUUGGCUCACUUCAAGGAAUAUUUGUUUCUUCAAAAAUUGGACCCUGUUACCUUUCCCAUAGAAAAGUUUCAGAUCUUGCAAAAACUUGUUUAAUAAUAAUUCCUAUAGAGUGAAGCAAUGAACUACUGAGGUAAGAAGCUUUUCUUACCCAUUUCAGCAUUGCUGUAUUAAAUCCUGAAUAUGCAUUUUGAAAAGAUUUAUAUAAAAAAAUAAAUUUUGAUUCUUAAAAUCAGAAAGCUCUGUGAGGCUGGUGUCUUCAAUGUGAGCUUUUAGACCAGAACUAAAUCAGCAAGAUUCUUUGUGCAUAUACCU